rnacentral:rRNA from 1 species
AAAGAUUAAGCCAUGCAUGUGUCAGUACAAACUAAGCCAAAAGUGAAACCGCAAAUGGCUCAUUAAAUCAGCUAUGAUUCCUUGGAUCUGUACACCCAGUUUUCCUUGGAUAACUGUGGUAAUUCUAGAGCUAAUACAUGCACAUAUAGUCCCUAACCUCACGGGAAGGGCGCUUUUAUUAGUAUCAAAACCGGUCUGGCUUCGGUCUGUAAAACCAGUUGUGAUGACUCUGGAUAAUGUAAGCUGAGCGCACGGUCUUUGCACUGGCGCCGCUUCUUUCAAGUGUCUGCCUUAUCAGCUGUCGAUUGUAGGUUAUGUGCCUACAAUGGCUAUAACGGGUAACGGGGAAUCAGGGUUCGAUUCCGGAGAGGGAGCCUGAGAAACGGCUACCACAUCCAAGGAAGGCAGCAGGCACGCAAAUUACCCACUCCCAGCUUGGGGAGGUAGUGACGAAAAAUAACGAUGCGAGACUCAUCCGAGGCCUCGCAAUCGGAAUGAGUACACUUUAAAUCCUUUAACGAGGAUCAAUUGGAGGGCAAGUCUGGUGCCAGCAGCCGCGGUAAUUCCAGCUCCAAUAGCGUAUAUUAAAGUUGUUGCGGUUAAAAAGCUCGUAGUUGGAUUUCAGGAUUGGACUGAAAGGUUCACCGUGAGGUGUCUAAAAACCUAACAGUAUCCGAAACCAGCUAUCACAACAACUUUGUGUAUGCCCACACUAGCUCACACGGGGUGUUCUUAAUUGAGUGCCCCGCGUGGCUGGUAUGUUUACUUUGAAAAAAUUAGAGUGCUCAAAGCAGGCCAACUGAAUGGCCUGAAUGUCUAUGCAUGGAAUAAUAUAAAAGGACCUCGGUUCUAUUUUAGCCGGGCUUUUUGUGGAACCCGAGGUAAUGAUUAAUGGAGAUGAAUGGGGGCAUUAGUACUGCGACGCUAGAGGUGAAAUUCUUGGACCGUCGCAAGACUAACAACAGCGAAAGCAUUGUCAAGAUUGUUUUCUUUAAUCA